rnacentral:lncRNA from 1 species
GAGCCAUAGUGGUAGAUGAUUUUAAGGGAUCAUUCAGAUUUCUAUGAAAACUUUACAAUACAGCCUCGAUAUCAGCAUAAAUGACCACGGGGGAGAUAGUUUUUUGAUGAAACUUGUAAAAACCGUUUUGGUAUUUGGAGUAGGAUAUUGGGCAGCAACUUUUCCGCACUCUUUAUUGUCAUGGGUGGUAUUUGUGGUAGUAUAAAAUUGUAAACAAUUUUCACAAAAAUAUGCCGAG